CAAUAGCGUAUAUUAAAGUUGUUGCAGUUAAAAAGCUCGUAGUUGGAUUUCUGGUGGGAGCGAUCGGUCUGGCGCUUAGCGCGAGUACUUGCAUCGUCUCCGGCCAUCCUUGGGGAGAGUCUGUCUGGCAUUAAGUUGUCGGGCAGAGGAUCCUCAUCGUUUACUGUGAAAAAAUUAGAGUGUUCAAAGCAGGCUUAUGCCGUUGAAUAUAUUAGCAUGGAAUAAUAAGAUAGGACUUUGGUACUAUUUUGUUGGUUUGCGCACCAAAGUAAUGGUUAAUAGGGACAGUUGGGGGUAUUCGUAUUCCGUUGUCAGAGGUGAAAUUCUUGGAUUUACGGAAGACGAACUACUGCGAAAGCAUUUACCAAGGAUGUUUUCAUUAA
rnacentral:rRNA from 1 species